rnacentral:lncRNA from 1 species
GGGCCCCAUGUCUUUAGCGGGGGCAGGAAGGGGAGCAGUCACUCACAUCCGUGAUGGCCUUCUUGGCCUUCUCCUCGGCAUUCCUGCACUCCUGCACGGCCUCCUCCACUUCAGUCUGAAGCUGGGACAGGUCUGCAUCCAUCUUCUUCUUCUGGUUGAUGAGGCUGGUGUUCUGAGGACCAAGGUGGGCAGAGCAUGAAAAGUACUGAGCAUUCAUGGGUGGCUUCCAAACCUCACGUGCUGAGUCCGGCCAGCCCGUGCUUCCCUCCAGGAAUGCCCAGGGGAGUUGCUCACCUGGGAGUGCAGCAGCUGCACCCGCUCGCUGGUCUCGAUCAGCUCCUGCUCCGCCAGC